rnacentral:lncRNA from 1 species
CCCCUUGCUUCUUCUGUCCACCUCUCCCAUGGCCUUCCUCUACUCUUUCUCUUCAUCUUAUUGCAUUCCUCUUCGAAUCUUUCAAAAAGACAACAUUCCAACUUUGUGUUUUCAUUGAAAUCAUGUUGGAAAUCACCACCUAAACUCAUUUCCUCUUUUUAAUCCUUUCAUUUUAGUUUAGGUAAUUUUAGAGAGAGAAGAUGAAUCUUGAGAGACAGAGCUUCAUCAAGGUAAGAAAUGGUGAUUUCCACCUUUCCUAGCUUGGUAUUUGACUUUGAAUGUUAAGUAAAAGUUUGGAAAUUUUGGAUUUUAAUUUUUGAUAUAUUCUUGUUGCAUGGAAAAAUGAAGAUUGAUGAGAAAUAGGGUUUUCAAGCUAAUUGAGGAUGGAUUUAAGUUUAUGGAGGAUUGAUUAUGUGUUAUAGAGCAUCCAAGGGUAAGUACCUUGUAUACUCAUACUUCUCUUAUGCUUUGGAGUUUGGAUUAGGAUAAUAAAAUUUUAGAAAUGAGUUUGGUUAUGUAGUAAAAUAUGUGGACUUCAUAACUUAAAAGUUAUGAAAUAAGUCAUUAAUGUGUUAUAGUGAAAAUGCUUAACAAAGGAAUGUAAUAAAUUGAUUAUGUG